UAUGGCCAUAUCACGUUGCAACACCGGUUCCUAUACGACCACAAAAGUUAAGCAACGUCGAGCUUAGUCAGUAUCUAGAUGGAUGAUAGCUUGGGGAUACCAGGUGCUGUGA